AGAGUUUGAUCNUGGCUCAGAUUGAACGCUGGCGGUAGGCUUAACACAUGCAAGUCGAGCGGAAACGAAGAAAAGCUUGCUUUUCAGGCGUCGAGCGGCGGACGGGUGAGUAACGCGUAGGAAUCUGCCUAGUAGUGGGGGACAACCUGUGGAAACGCAGGCUAAUACCGCAUAAUCCCUGAGGGGGAAAGGAGGGGAUCUUCGGACCUUUCGCUAUUAGAUGAGCCUGCGUGAGAUUAGCUAGUUGGUGAGGUAAAGGCUCACCAAGGCGACGAUCUCUAGCUGGUCUGAGAGGAUGAUCAGCCACACUGGGACUGAGACACGGCCCAGACUCCUACGGGAGGCAGCAGUGGGGAAUAUUGGACAAUGGGCGCAAGCCUGAUCCAGCCAUACCGCGUGUGUGAAGAAGGCCUUAGGGUUGUAAAGCACUUUCAGAAGGGAGGAAAGGUUAAUGUUUAAUACGCAUUAGCUGNGACGU
rnacentral:rRNA from 1 species